AAUUUGCUUCUUUAUAUGUUCUCGCUUACUUAUUUUCAUCUUCAUAAAAAAAGUUAUAUGAGUCAUUUAUACAUAACACUCCAUUAACUCAAAUAUAUGUGUUUUACACUUUAAGAAUUUUACAAAUGUCUGAAUGUUUAAACAGCAAGCCAAUAAUGUUCUGUUCAAAUUGCAUGUUAUUGUACACAUAGAUAUAGUUCACCAAAUCAAAAUGUUAUAUGCAAAAAGCAAGUUUAUUUGUUUCAGGUAUCAACGAAGUGUCCACCACCCUAAUAAAAAGGCAACACAAGUACUCAAAGGUCAAUUUCGAACAGACUCCAAUACGUCGAAUCGGGUUAUACAACCAAACAGCUUGGCCGACCGAAAAAGACCUCUUUUUCGCCUUGAUGUCAUAAUGACGCUUCUGAUAUGCUGUGUUCUUACGAAGAGACUUCCUCGCAAUUGUAUGACAGCUCACCAGGACCGUCUGUAACUGGCUACAAUAUGACUCUGGAUCACGUGCCUCAAUUGAAGAAUUUGGUGACCCGAUAAAUGCCUCUACUGGUAGGGUUACAUCACGCCCAAACACCAUUUUGUUGGGAGUUACACCAGUACUGCUGUGCACGGAAGCACGAUAAGCCAUGGUUAGCUGUGGAAGGUACUCAUCCCAUCUCUGUUGGUCAUCUUCACAAUAAAUGGCCAACAUGGAUUGAAGAGUUCUGUUGAAUCGUUCUGGACAACCAUUACUUUGGGGUCGAAGCGAACUUGUUGUUACUUUGUCGAUGUGAAGAAAAUCACAAAUAUCUUGAAAAAGCUGUGAAGUGAAAUUUGUCCCUUUAUCACUUAAAAUUUGUUGAGGACAACCAAACCGACAAAUGAAAUUAUUUACUAAAACAUCAGCAAUAGUUUUUGCUUCUUGGUUAGGCAGGGGAUAAGCCUCAGUCCAUUUUGUAAAAUUGUCCACUACUACUAAAAUAUAUUUGUUGCCUUUCAGUGUUGUACUUAAAGGACCUAACACGUCAAUGGAAAUUCUCUCCAUUGGUUCACCAUUGAUAUAAUUUCUCAUUGGGGCUUUAGGAGCUGUAUUAGACUUACGACAUGCACAUUUAUCGCAUUUAGUGAUAUACUUAUUAACAUCCUCUUUCAUACCUGGCCAAUAGAACGAUUGUUUAAGCCUAUGUAAGGACUUUUCUAAACCCAAGUGUCCAGCAGACGGAAUGUCAUGCGAAUACUUAAUAAUUUCAUCUCGUUUCGUUAACGGUACAAUAAGUAAAUUUUGUUCGAAGCCAGUUUCCGUGUCUAUGAAAAUACAAUACAAUAUUUGGUUAAUUACUUUAAGUCUAUCCCACAUGCGCCAAAGUGUUUUAAGAUAAGAAGUACCAUCUGAUAUUUGAUCCCAUGAAGGCCUAUCUAAUUGGUUUGUCUUAGCAUUAAGAAUAGGACUAAUAUUUGGGUCAUUUAAUUGGGCAACUAAAAGGUCAUCAGGGGUCCAGCCAUUUAUAACUAUUUGUGCGUCUUGUUGUAUUGCUCGUAUAGUUACACUGUUAUUUUGGUUUAUGAUUAAAUUAUUAUCACAAUCA